rnacentral:rRNA from 1 species
GAUGAACGCUGGCGGCGUGCCUAAUACAUGCAAGUCGAGCGAACAGACGAGGAGCUUGCUCCUCUGACGUUAGCGGCGGACGGGUGAGUAACACGUGGAUAACCUACCUAUAAGACUGGGAUAACUUCGGGAGACCGGAGCUAAUACCGGAUAAUAUAUUGAACCGCAUGGUUCAAUAGUGAAAGACGGUUUUGCUGUCACUUAUAGAUGGAUCCGCGCCGCAUUAGCUAGUUGGUAAGGUAACGGCUUACCAAGGCAACGAUGCGUAGCCGACCUGAGAGGGUGAUCGGCCACACUGGAACUGAGACACGGUCCAGACUCCUACGGUAGGCAGCAGUAGGGAAUCUUCCGCAAGGGGCGAAAGCUUGACGGAGCAACGCCGCGUGAGUGAUGAAGGUCUUCGGAUCGUAAAACUCUGUUAUUAGGGAAGAACAAAUGUGUAAGUAACUAUGCACGUCUUGACGGUACCUAAUCAGAAAGCCACGGCUAACUACGUG